rnacentral:RNase_P_RNA from 1 species
CAGGCGGACCGGACGGUCGCUGCCGCCCCGCGGACGCCGGACUUGUCCGGGCUGCGCGGAGCGGGAGAGGAAAGUCCGAACUCCGCAGAGCAGUGUGCCGGAUAACGUCCGGGAGGGCGGCGUCAAGGCCGUUCGACGGAAAGUGCCACAGAGAAUAUACCGCCGGGAGAGCCGGGUGAGCGGGCAGCGCAAGCUGUCGCGCUUGUCGCGGCCCGCGAGGGCGAAGCAGCUUGCUGCGGAGCCCUCAGAAAAAAGCCGGUAAGGGUGAAAAGGUGCGGUAAGAGCGCACCGCCUCGGCAGCAAUGUUGAGGGCAGGGCAAACCCCACACGGAGCAAGACCAAAUAGGGAGUGAGUCUCGCUGUUUCGGCAGCGGGCACGCGCUGGCUCGGCGCGUCAAAACUCUGGGUAGGUCGCUGGAGCGGCGCGGCAACGCGUCGCCUAGAGGAAUGAUCGUCGUCCCGCGCAAGCGGGGUACAGAAUUCGGCUUACAGGUUCGCCUGCUAC